GGGNUUGCCUUAGUAACGGCGAGUGAAGCGGCAACAGCUCAAAUUUGAAAUCUGGCUCCUCCGGGGUCCGAGUUGUAAUUUGUAGAGAGUGCUUCGGGGGAGACUGCGGUCUAAGUCCAUUGGAACAUGGUGUCAUAGAGGGUGAGAAUCCCGUAUGUGACCGCGGAUCGAACCCAUGUGAAGCCUCUUCGACGAGUCGAGUUGUUUGGGAAUGCAGCUCAAAAUGGGUGGUAAAUUUCAUCUAAAGCUAAAUACUGGCUGGAGACCGAUAGCGCACAAGUAGAGUGAUCGAAAGAUGAAAAGCACUUUGGAAAGAGAGUUAAACAGUACGUGAAAUUGUUGAAAGGGAAGCGCUUGCAACCAGACCUGCCCGUAGGCGAUCAGCUGCUGUUCUCAGCGGUGCACUCGCUCUGCGAUCAGGCCAGCAUCGGUUUCGGCGGUCGGAUAAAGGCCUUGGGAAUGUAGCUUCCUCUCGGGGGAGUUUUAUAGCCCUCGGUGCAAUGCGGCCAGCCGGGACCGAGGACCGCGCUUUGGCUAGGAUGCUGGCGUAAUGGUUGUCAGCGACCCGUCUUGAAACACGGACCAAGGAGUCUAACAUCUAUGCGAGUGUUUGGGUGUCAAACCCAUGCGCGGAAUGAAAGUGAACGGAGGUGAGAACCCUUAAGGGCGCAUCAUCGACCGAUCCAGAUGUCUUCGGAUGGAUUUGAGUAUGAGCAUAGCUGUUGGGACCCGAAAGAUGGUGAACUAUGCCUGAAUAGGGUGAAGCCAGAGGAAACUCUGGUGGAGGCUCGCAGCGGUUCUGACGUGCAAAUCGAUCGUCAAAUUUGGGUAUAGGGGCGAAAGGUCAGCUAAAAACCCCCCGAUUUCAUUUUACAGAGACUUUUGAGCUAACUUUUUUUUUAACAGACUAAUCG
rnacentral:rRNA from 1 species